GUCGAGAAUCUUCCGCAAUGCGCGAAAGCGUGACGGAGCGACACCGCGUGAUGGAUGAAGUCCUUCGGGGCGUAAACAUCUUUUAUAAAGGAGGAAAUUUUUGACGUUACUUUAUGUAUAAGGGGCUCCCAAUCUCGUGCCAGCAGGAGCGGUAAUACGAGAGCCUCAAGCGUUAUCCGGAAUCAUUGGGCGUAAAGGGUGCGUAGGUGGUUUGAUUAGUCUCCCGUUAAAACUUCGGGCUUAACUCGAAAAGAGCGGGGGAAACGGUCAAACUAGAGUAUGUGAGAGGUGUGUGGAACUCAUGGUGUAGGGGUGAAAUCCGUUGAUAUCAUGGGGAACACCAAAAGCGAAGGCAGCACACUGGCACAUCACUGACACUGAGGCACGAAACCUAAGGUAGCGAAUGGGAUUAGAAACCCGUGUAGUCC
rnacentral:rRNA from 1 species